rnacentral:rRNA from 1 species
AUUGAACGCUGGCGGCGUGCCUAACACAUGCAAGUCGAGCGGCAGCGCGGGAGCAAUCCUGGCGGCGAGCGGCGGACGGGUGAGUAACGCUUGGGAAUCUGCCUGUUAGUGGGGGACAACCCGGGGAAACUCGGGCUAAUACCGCAUACGCACUACGGUGGAAAGCCGGGGACCGCAAGGCCUGGCGCUAACAGAUGAGCCCAAGUCGGAUUAGCUAGUUGGUAGGGUAACGGCCUACCAAGGCGACGAUCCGUAACUGGUCUGAGAGGACGACCAGUCACACCGGAACUGAGACACGGUCCGGACUCCUACGGGAGGCAGCAGUGGGGAAUAUUGGACAAUGGGGAAACCCUGAUCCAGCGACGCCGCGUGGGUGAAGAAGGCCUGCGGGUUGUAAAGCCCUUUCAGUGGGGAAGAAAAGCCUCGACCUAACACGUCGGGGUCUUGACGUAACCCAUAGAAGAAGCACCGGCUAACUCUGUGCCA